UAUUAAAUUUAUCUUCCACUUGCAAUGUGGAGUAAAAUAAAGACCAAAGAGAAGUCCCAAACUAGUAAAAGAAAUUCAUUCUGAAACUGUGAAAGAAAAAGAAUGGCUUCAAAGUUUAUAAGGAUCCAAUUAUUCAAACAUCAAUAGGUAACAAGGUUAACUAAUCAUAUGGUGCUUCAGUAGUUAGUUGCAAUAGGAUAAGCCAUUAUUUCUUGAACACACAAAAAGGGAAGGGAAGAUUCAACUAAUUAAUGAACUUGGCAUUUUGAUUCUAGAACUCAAUUGGAACUAACUGUUUGGACCUUCAUUUGCAUGUGCUCCUGUUAGGGAGGUCCUUACGAUGAGUCUGGUAAACAAUUUACUGCUCAUGAUAUAGGACGUGGAGACAGGGCUUGUUCUUGGAUGUCACAGUGUUUCACGCUUGUAGAUACCAAUUCAGGAGCUGGAAAAGCCAUUUUGAGGUCACUAUAUCACCAGUAUGCGGAAUGGGGCAUGGAUUUUGUAAAGCAUGACUCCAUUUUUGGUGAUGACUUGGAUGUAGAUGAGAUAAGAACUGUGUCAGAGGAUAACUGCAGAUGAUUGGGAUAAGUGGGAAGAUGUAGCGGGACAUUUCAGUGUAUCAAGGUGAACUUUUGUAACAGGGACUUUGCUAAUGGUGGCAUGAUAGGAGCCAGUGGUUUGCAGGGGAAGUCAUGGCCUGACUUAGAUAUGCUACCACUGGGCCGGUUACUGAUCCAGGUGCCAAAGAAGGGCCACAUAGACCAUCCAAUCUCAAUUUAGAUGAGCAAAGAACUCAGAUGACUCUAUGGUCUAUGGCCAAAUCACCUCUCAAGUUUGGGGGUGAUGCAAGGGAAAUUGAUAUGAACACAUACAAUCUCAUCACAAAGCCUAUAUUAUUGGAAAUAAAUUCUUUUAGCACAAACAAUAUGGAGUUUCCUUACAUCUCCGGCUCAAAAGUUCAAAGUGGAAAAAGGUUCACGCCAAACAAUCUAAAAGCCUGAAGGAUGAGACCAUAUUGGAUCAGAAUUCAAGUGCCUUGAUAGUAGCAAAUUACUUCAAUUGGUCAUAGGUUUACGAUGAUGGUGUAGUGACAUUAAAUUAUUGACCCAACCAGCAAGAAACAGACAUCGAAGAUGAAGUCUCUGGAGACAUUUCUUCUAGACAGCUGUUGAUUCCGGAGUGAGGGAUCAUUGGGUCAGAUAAUGCAAUUGCUUUGUGGCCAUGAAAAAUUGUUUGAGGAUUGUUUCUGCUACUGUUUCAGCAUGGACAUUGUGUGAUGAGGCCUCGUUCUCUUCCACCUAGCUAGUCCUUCUCUUAUGUUGCCCGAGUUCAACUUUUUCACUCACAAUGGUUAUGGGGGUUUUAUUUUCUGGCGAUAUGUCCAUGCCAAGCACAAGCAGCUUAGUCAAUGAGUGGCAAAUGCUAUUUCGAUCAUGAAGACCACGCCAUCCAAUUAGGAGGAGGUUGCAGAAAGUGAG